rnacentral:rRNA from 1 species
UACAGCGGGGGCAAGCGUUGUUCGGAAUUACUGGGCGUAAAGGGCGCGUAGGCGGCCUGCUAAGUCGAACGUGAAAUCCCCGGGCUCAACCCGGGAACUGCGUCCGAUACUGGUUGGCUUGAAUCCGGGAGAGGGAUGCGGAAUUCCAGGUGUAGCGGUGAAAUGCGUAGAUAUCAGGAGGAACACCAAUGGCGAAGGCAGCUCACUGGGACGGUAUUGACGCUGAGACGCGAAAGCGUGGGGAGCAAACAGG